rnacentral:SRP_RNA from 1 species
GCCGGGCGUGGUGGCGCCUGCCUAUAGUUCCAGCUACUCGGGAGGCUGAGGUGGAAGGAUCGCUUGAGCCCAGGAGUUCUGGGCUGUAGUGCGCUAUGCCGAUCGGGUGUCCGAACUAAGUUCGGCAUCAAUAUGGUGACCUCCCGGGAGCGGGGGACCCACCAGGUUGCCUAAGGAGGGGUGAACCGGCCCGGGUCGGAAACGGAGCAGGUCAAAACUCCUGUGCUGAUCGGUAGUGGGAUCUCGCCUGUGAAUAGCCACUGCACGCCAGACUGUGCAACAUAGCGAGACCCCGUCUCU